GAUGAAGAACGCAGCGAAAUGCGAUAAGUAGUGUGAAUUGCAGAAUUCAGUGAAUCAUCGAAUCUUUGAACGCACAUUGCGCCCUUUGGUGUUCCAAAGGGCAUGCCUGUUCGAGCGUCAUUUGUACCCUCAAGCUUUGCUUGGUGUUGGGCGUCUUGUCUCUAGCUUUGCUGGAGACUCGCCUUAAAGUAAUUGGCAGCCGGCCUACUGGUUUCGGAGCGCAGCACAAGUCGCACUCUCUAUCAGCAAAGGUCUAGCAUCCAUUAAGCCUUUUUUUCAACUUUUGACCUCGGAUCAGGUAGGGAUACCCGCUGAACUUAAGCAUAUCAAUAAGCGGAGGA
rnacentral:misc_RNA from 1 species